AGCGUAGGCGGAUUCUUAAGUGGGAUGUGAAAUACCUGGGCUUAACCUGGGUGCUGCAUUCCAAACUGGGAAUCUAGAGUGCAGGAGGGGAGAGUGGAAUUCCUAGUGUAGCGGUGAAAUGCGUAGAGAUUAGGAAGAACACCAGUGGCGAAGGCGACUCUCUGGACUGUAACUGACGCUGAGGCUCGAAAGCGUAGGGAGCAAACA
rnacentral:rRNA from 1 species